UACGGAGAGUGCAAACGUUGUUCGGAAUCAUUGGGCGUAAAGCGCGCGUAGGCGGCCAGGAAGGUCGGGUGUGAAAUCCCGGGGCUCAACCCCGGAACUGCGCCCGAAACCACUUGGCUUGAGUUCCUGAGGGAGAAGUGGAAUUCCUGGUGUAGAGGUGAAAUUCGUAGAGAUCAGGAGGAACACCGGUGGCGAAGGCGACUUCUUGGCAGGAUACUGACGCUGAGGCGCGAAAGCGUGGGGAGCAAAC
rnacentral:rRNA from 1 species